ensembl:misc_RNA 7SK 7SK RNA
GGAUGUGAGGGCAAUCUGUCUGCGACAUCUGUCACCCUAUUCAUCUCCAGGGUUGAUUCGGCUGAUCUGGCUGGCUAGGUGGGUGUCCCCUUCCUUCCUCACCGCUCUAUGUGCACCCCUCCUGAAGCUGUGCACUCUGUGUAAGAGGAUGGCUUUCCCUGAAUAGAAACGGAACGGUCUUCCGUGGAGGGUAUACGAGUAGCUGCACUCCCCUGCUAGAACCUCCAAACAAGCUCUCAAGAACUACCAUCUUCAGUGCUACUUUCUUUAACUUGGCUGUGUGUCAGGUGGUGUCCCUUCCAGACAGACAUCAAAGUGACUCUCCAAGAAGGAAGUCUGUGGGCCU